rnacentral:misc_RNA from 1 species
UUUCCGUAGGUGAACCUGCGGAAGGAUCAUUAGUGAAUUGAAUAUGUUAGCGGACCUCUUCGGAGUCCCUAGCAUCAAAUCAUAUCCAUAACACCUGUGAACUGUAAGGCUGUCUUGAAACGAAAGUGAUUAGAGCGCCUGCCCAUUUUAUACAAACAUUAAAGUAACAAACGUAGUCUUAUUAUAAUCUAAUAAAACUUUCAACAACGGAUCUCUUGGCUCAC